rnacentral:tRNA from 1 species
GCUAUGUAGCUCAGCUGGUUAGAGCACAACACUCAUAAUGUUGGGGUCAAAGGUUCGAAUCCACAAUUGAAUUAGCG